AACACACACAAGUUUGUAUGUUGGAGUCCUGAUCCCCUCGGACCCCAGAAUGUGACUCCUUGGAGCUGGGGUCUUUAGCAUGGGCCCUGGUCCAGCCUGACGGUUGUCCUUAGAAGAGGGACUGCUGUGUGAGGACAGGGGAGAGGCUGACCGUCAGCAGGGCAGGGAGUGAGGUCUCAGAAGGAACCGCGUGCUGAUUUACACCAAUUAAAAUUUGCAUGGCUGAACCCCAGCUUGGACAGGCAGAGACUGGAGAAAGUGUGGACAGAGGGAGCAGGAAGGAGGGAGAAAAACAGGCUUGAUAGGCUGCAAGCGAGAGUGUGAGACAGAAAGCUACUGGGCAGCCAAAGAAAUAAAAAUCAUACAGAUGAAAAAUCAAGCAGAUGGAAACAGGCAGAAGACCCUGAAAAAUACAUUAAAGCAAGAAAACGCUGAUAAUAUAUUGUCUCUGGUAAGUAAUGAAGUUAACCUUUCAUUUUACUCUUGAUAGUUAAUUUGCUUCAGCUUGUACAUUGCCUUGCCAAUGAGUCAGUGCCUCACCAAGGCUGUUGGAAGCAAAAUGAUAUUUUAAUUAUGUUGGCUGUUGAUAAGAACUGCUGACCUGUUAAUUAUAAAGGGUACAGAGUAAUCAGAACCCAUCCUAUUCUAGAAUAUCGAGCACACAAAUGUUCUUGCAAACUUCCCAGAGAAGAAACAAUCUACAAAACUAUGCAGCCAAUUUACUGUCCAAGAGAGUUUCCCAGAAUAAAUCAUUUAUUGGUCACUGAAGCUUCAAAGUGAUUCCUGGAUGAAAUGAGCAACUGAAUACAGAUCAACCUUGAAUGUAUGUCUCAGGCACUCGCAGACUCUUGCACGAUUAGAUCGUUCAUAGUAUUCAUUCUUCAGCAGGAAACUCUUUCAAUCAAUCAAUCAAUUAAGGCUCUAGCAGAUCAAAAACAUGAUUAAUUAAUGAUUGCCUAUAACACCGAUGACUCAGGGAUAACUUGAUUUUCUCAGGUUGUCUACCCAUAUGGCAUGAAUAGAUCACGGUAGGGAGUUAGGUUGGUGACUAUGGUGAGGGGCAUGGCAACGCUUUCUUUAUCACUGCUAAAUUGGAGAAAAUGCUAUACUCUGCACAAAAAUAACCAACCACUCUGUGUGAGCUCUGUAUAAAACAGGAUGGCUCAAAUGAGGGCCAAGCUGAGGAACAAUACCUUAUCUAGUGAGAACCAAUGCUGUCAUGGGCUCGUCUGUAAAAUAUACAGCGAGCGAAGAAGGAAAAUAUUAAAGAAAGGCUUGAACCGACUCUCGGAGAUCAAGUCCGUAGUGAAAUCCAUGGGCCAAACAACACAGCUGAUGCCCUUUAAUGGGCCUUCAGUUCUGUAUUAUCAUUUUUUAUUUGUGUUACUUUGGUUGAUUGCAUAUUUUUGUAAGACUGAUCUCACAUCCAUUGUGCGGCUGAGACAGGGAAGUGUUUCUCUGCUGUAACUUGAGUUAUAGGCACAGAAUGCUAGGAUUUAGGGAUUCAGCCCCAGCAGACACCCUCAGUCCUCAUCAGUGAGCCCUGGGGACACUGGGAUUUCCUGCAUUUUUCUCUUUGAAUGACACCACUUCUCAGAAUAACUGAGCAGUCCCCAGGGACAUAAGCACAAGUGGCAGAUCGCAAUACGAGGCAAGGCAAGGCGUGAGCUGGGGUUCACCAUCCCAGUCAUCACAAAGGCUUUACAGCAUCACCUGAUGAUCUGAUAAGGAGCACCUCGCUCCCAAGACGAGCAGAGUGAAUGAGCAGAGGUGACAGGCCUCCCUCCAGGCCGGGGCUUCUGCGCGUCCUUCCUGCAAUGCCACCAUGAUUAAGGGCACCACCAGGGCCAAGCUCCGCUGUGCAACUUCAUGGCUGAGUCACCUGGAACAUACUACAUUCUCUCUGAGCUGACGCAGCUAAACACAAACUGUGGUACCUGGGGCAUAUGGAAAGAGAACACAGAUCGUGUAAAGUCUAUGAUUAUUGUCACUAAUGUACAUUUUCUGACAUUCUGGAAACAUCCGUGGGCCUUCGGCACACUCUGCAGGACACUGGAAUGAAUCCUGGCUUGCUGUUGGGCUGUGGAUGGUGAAGAAUGGAACCUCGGGGCUCAUGGCUGCUGUGCCACGGGCUCUCUAGGUGGAGUCCUGCUCUGAGUCAGCCCAUAGGAUUCUGCCUAGUCUCAGGACUAGACUGGGUACCUCGUCAGGAGUUGAAAAGAGAAGAAGAGUAAGGUAUUUUCGUGAUUCCUUUACUUCUACCCUGCACUUGACGAGCAAAAUCCAGGCUCGUCACAUUUUAAGAAACUUGGGAAUCAGAAGAGAGUUCAGUAGAACAAG
ensembl:lncRNA